CAUUUUCCUGUCUGUUAAAACCCAUUUUCUAAUACAGGCCAUUUGGUGUUAUUGUCUGUAGGUUCUGGAUCCACUCCGUGCUGCCCACAGGUCCAGAGGCCCACAGGUCCAGCCUAUAUGUGACUGUAACCCUGAUAUGGUAAGGUUCUGGAUCCACUCCCGUGCUGCCCACAGGUCCAGAGGCCCACAGGUCCAGCCUAUAUGUGACUGUAACCCUGAUAUGGUAAGGUAGUGAUGGGGUGCUCCUGGAAGUGGGUUAUGAGUAAAUUGUAGG
rnacentral:lncRNA from 1 species